CCUACGGGCGGCAGCAGUGGGGAAUAUUGGACAAUGGGGGCAACCCUGAUCCAGCCAUGCCGCGUGUGUGAAGAAGGCCCUCGGGUUGUAAAGCACUUUCAGUGAGGAAGAACGCCUGGUGGUUAAUACCCAUCAGGAAAGACAUCACUCACAGAAGAAGCACCGGCUAACUCCGUGCCAGCAGCCGCGGUAAUACGGAGGGUGCGAGCGUUAAUCGGAAUUACUGGGCGUAAAGCGCGCGUAGGUGGCUUGAUAAGCCGGUUGUGAAAGCCCCGGGCUCAACCUGGGAACGGCAUCCGGAACUGUCAAGCUAGAGUACAGGAGAGGAAGGUAGAAUUCCCGGUGUAGCGGUGAAAUGCGUAGAGAUCGGGAGGAAUACCAGUGGCGAAGGCGGCCUUCUGGACUGACACUGACACUGAGGUGCGAAAGCGUGGGUAGCAAACAGGAUUAGAUACCCUAGUAGUC
rnacentral:rRNA from 1 species